rnacentral:lncRNA from 1 species
AGAGGGACGGAGACCAAGACUCGGAGUAGUUCAUGAAGAGAGAGAAGAGGGGAACAAGGCGAGGCUUAAAAGGAAAAGGGAAAACAGGAAGCGACCAUUCCCAGAGACGGACAGACAGACAAACCCAAGGAGGGUGAAGUCAACUGUCUUCCCGGCCUGUUGGGAGCCCUCCCCUCACUUUGAACUGGGCCAAAGGAGUCCAGCCCACAAGGCGUCUGAGGAAGGGAUGUCUCUGCCCAACUGGAGAAUCUCCUCAAGGGCUCAGCUGCGAAACACCUGUCACUCAACCAGGAGAUUUACUCCAAAUUUCAAGUCCAGCUUUUUAGAAAGUAGAAGACUGUCUACUCCCCAGAUGAGAAAACCAAGGCACUGAAAGCUGGAAAGGGGCAGACCAGACGCAAACACUGCUUUCUUGACUCCACUCACUACAAGCUGCUUCCUUAAGCCUAAACUUGGCUCUUGCCUCACAGGACUAUCUUGCAGGAACCUAGGUCUUUGGCUGGUUUUUGAAGCUGAACCCACCUGGUUUUCUCCUUCAUCUGAUGCAGCAAGAGAAAUUUGGCCAGGAGGGGGCCGUUGGUGCAGACCAAGCAUCCAGUGGGAACACACAGGGGUCAGCUACCUUGGAUUCCUCCUCCCCACUUGGGGGUUCAGCUUCCCUAUUUCCCCCAGGGACAAAGACCCAGCCAGGUCACUCUCAGGGAUUCAGGGAAAAUAAGCAUUGUGUCUGGGGCAUAAAGAAAGGCCAAGUUCUGGGCAUGUGGCUGCAGGCAUGUCUUACGGGACAGAGACAGCCCCCCCAGCCGAGGACUGGCCUCCCAAUAACUCUGUUCUGCCUGGAGUGUCCUUGUGCUGGACUUCCUCCAGCAACCUCACCCUUACAGAAAAAUAGGGAUGCUUUUCUUGAACUUCCUCUUUCUAUUCCUCCUUCUAAGUCAGGGACAGAUGGGGUGGCAGGGGUGGGAAGUAUACUGAUCUGUUUCUUGUCACUGUUGCCCCUAUGUCCUGAUAUAAAAAC